GACAGAGGUGGCAAGCGUUGUUCGGAAUUACUGGGCUUAAAGGGCGCGUAGGUGGUGAAGUAAGUCCGGGGUGGAAGGCUGAGGCUUAACCUUGGAAUUGCCCUGGAAACUACUUUACUUGAGUCGGCGAGGGGAUGGCGGAAUUCCCGGUGUAGCGGUGAAAUGCGUAGAUAUCGGGAGGAAGGCCGGUGGCGAAGGCGACCUGCUGGCCUAAAACUGACGCUGAGGCACGAAAGCAUGGGUAGCAAACAGG
rnacentral:rRNA from 1 species